UUCGCCGGCAUCCCGCUGGACCGGAUGAGCGUGUCGAUGACGAUGAACGGCGCCGUCCUGCCGGUGCUGGCGUUCUACAUCGUCGCGGCGGAG
rnacentral:tRNA from 1 species